rnacentral:rRNA from 1 species
UACGUAGGGGGCGAGCGUUGUCCGGAAUUAUUGGGCGUAAAGAGCGUGUAGGCGGUCCGGUAAGUCCGCUGUGAAAGUCCAGGGCUCAACCCUGGAAUGCCGGUGGAUACUGCCGGGCUAGAGUCCGGAAGAGGCGAGUGGAAUUCCUGGUGUAGCGGUGAAAUGCGCAGAUAUCAGGAGGAACACCGAUGGCGAAGGCAGCUCGCUGGGACGGUACUGACGCUGAGACGCGAAAGCGUGGGGAGCGAACCGG